GUAAUGUCUGGGAAACUGCCUGAUGGAGGGGGAUAACUACUGGAAACGGUGGCUAAUACCGCAUAACGUCGCAAGACCAAAGAGGGGGACCUUCGGGCCUCUUGCCAUCAGAUGUGCCCAGAUGGGAUUAGCUUGUUGGUGAGGUAACGGCUCACCAAGGCGACGAUCCCUAGCUGGUCUGAGAGGAUGACCAGCCACACUGGAACUGAGACACGGUCCAGACUCCUACGGGAGGCAGCAGUGGGGAAUAUUGCACAAUGGGCGCAAGCCUGAUGCAGCCAUGCCGCGUGUAUGAAGAAGGCCUUCGGGUUGUAAAGUACUUUCAGCGGGGAGGAAGGUGUUGUGGUUAAUAACCGCAGCAAUUGACGUUACCCGCAGAAGAAGCACCGGCUAACUCCGUGCCAGCAGCCGCGGUAAUACGGAGGGUGCAAGCGUUAAUCGGAAUUACUGGGCGUAAAGCGCACGCAGGCGGUCUGUCAAGUCGGAUGUGAAAUCCCCGGGCUCAACCUGGGAACUGCAUUCGAAACUGGCAGGCUUGAGUCUUGUAGAGGGGGGUAGAAUUCCAGGUGUAGCGGUGAAAUGCGUAGAGAUCUGGAGGAAUACCGGUGGCGAAGGCGGCCCCCUGGACAAAGACUGACGCUCAGGUGCGAAAGCGUGGGGAGCAAACAGGAUUAGAUACCCUGGUAGUCCACGCCGUAAACGAUGUCUACUUGGAGGUUGUGCCCUUGAGGCGUGGCUUCCGGAGCUAACGCGUUAAGUAGACCGCCUGGGGAGUACGGCCGCAAGGUUAAAACUCAAAUGAAUUGACGGGGGCCCGCACAAGCGGUGGAGCAUGUGGUUUAAUUCGAUGCAACGCGAAGAACCUUACCUGGUCUUGACAUCCACAGAACUUUCCAGAGAUGGAUUGGUGCCUUCGGGAACUGUGAGACAGGUGCUGCAUGGCUGUCGUCAGCUCGUGUUGUGAAAUGUUGGGUUAAGUCCCGCAACGAGCGCAACCCUUAUCCUUUGUUGCCAGCGGUCCGGCCGGGAACUCAAAGGAGACUGCCAGUGAUAAACUGGAGGAAGGUGGGGAUGACGUCAAGUCAUCAUGGCCCUUACGACCAGGGCUACACACGUGCUACAAUGGCGCAUACAAAGAGAAGCGACCUCGCGAGAGCAAGCGGACCUCAUAAAGUGCGUCGUAGUCCGGAUUGGAGUCUGCAACUCGACUCCAUGAAGUCGGAAUCGCUAGUAAUCGUGGAUCAGAAUGCCACGGUGAAUACGUUCCCGGGCCUUGUACACACCGCCCGUCACACCAUGGGAGUGGGUUGCAAAAGAAGUAGGUAGCUUAACCUUCGGGAGGGCGCUUACCACUUUGUGAUUCAUGACUGGGGUGAAGUCGUAACAAGGUAACCGUAGGGGAACCUGCGGUUGGAUCACCUCCUUACCUUAAAGAAGC
rnacentral:rRNA from 1 species